rnacentral:snRNA from 1 species
AGAUGUGAGGGUGAUCUGGCUGCAACAUCUGUCACCCCAUUGAUUGCCAUGGUUGAUUCGGCUGAUCUGGUUGGCUAGGCAGGUGUCCCCUUCCUCCCUCACUGCUCCAUGUGUGUCCUUCCCAAAGCUGCAGGCUCCGUUGAAGAGAAUAACCUUCCCAGAUAGAGGAGGAAUGCACUUUGGGCAAGGGUAUACAGGUACUUGCACUCCCUUGGCUAGAACCUCCAAACAAGCUCUCAAAAUCAAGUUUGAAGAGUGUACAAGGUGUAUUUCAGUUUG